UACGUAGGGGGCAAGCGUUGUCCGGAUUUAUUGGGCGUAAAGAGCGUGUAGGCGGCUUACUAAGUCAGGGGUGAAAUCCUGGAGCUCAACUCCAGAACUGCCUUUGAUACUGGAGAGCUAGAGUCCGGAAGAGGUGAGUGGAACUGCGAGUGUAGAGGUGAAAUUCGUAGAUAUUCGCAAGAACACCAGUGGCGAAGGCGGCUCACUGGUCCGGUACUGACGCUGAGGUGCGAAAGCGUGGGGAGCAAACAGG
rnacentral:rRNA from 1 species